GAUGAACGCUGGCGGCGUGCUUAACACAUGCAAGUCGAACGAAGCACUUUAUUUGAUUUCCUUCGGGACUGAUUAUUUUGUGACUGAGUGGCGGACGGGUGAGUAACGCGUGGGUAACCUGCCUUGUACAGGGGGAUAACAGUUGGAAACGGCUGCUAAUACCGCAUAAGCGCCCAGCAUCGCAUGAUGCAGUGUGAAAAACUCCGGUGGUAUAAGAUGGACCCGCGUUGGAUUAGCUAGUUGGUGAGGUAACGGCCCACCAAGGCGACGAUCCAUAGCCGACCUGAGAGGGUGACCGGCCACAUUGGGACUGAGACACGGCCCAAACUCCUACGGGAGGCAGCAGUGGGGAAUAUUGCACAAUGGGCGAAAGCCUGAUGCAGCGACGCCGCGUGAGCGAAGAAGUAUUUCGGUAUGUAAAGCUCUAUCAGCAGGGAAGAUAAUGACGGUACCUGACUAAGAAGCACCGGCUAAAUACGUG
rnacentral:rRNA from 1 species